rnacentral:tRNA from 1 species
CCGCUAUUAGCUCAGCACGGUUAGAGCGUUGCUUUAUUUACAGAAAGCGGAGUCGGGGUUCGAGUCCUCGAUAGCGGC